rnacentral:rRNA from 1 species
UACUCGAGUGGCGAACGGGUGAGUAACACGUGGGUGAUCUGCCCUGCACUUCGGGAUAAGCCUGGGAAACUGGGUCUAAUACCGGAUAGGAGCCAUUUUUAGUGUGAUGGUUGGAAAGUUUUUUCGGUGUAGGAUGAGCUCGCGGCCUAUCAGCUUAUUGGUGGGGUAAUGGCCUACCAAGGCGGCGACGGGUAGCCGGCCUGAGAGGGUGGACGGCCACAUUGGGACUGAGAUACGGCCCAG